rnacentral:misc_RNA from 1 species
CGCGUAUUAGGGUGCCAACCGGCGCCCUUUGCACACCCACCCUUUGCCUAUGUGUACCUUUCCAUCGCUUCCUCGGCGGGCUCGCCCGCCGGCAGGAACCAAACAAACCCCUUGCAUCCUACGCGAAAACUUCUGAUAACCACGUAAAUAAGUCA